AAGGUGGCGCUAGCAUUAUGGUAGCAGCCGUAUUUUGUAUUUUCUUAGUUAAAUUAGCUAGCAUUUCUAUGCUUCAGGUACCGAGUACGAGGCCACACUGAGUAUUUUUCUGCAUUGCAGCAGCGUGUGUCGCAAGAGGAUGCAGCGCCGCGACGUAUCAUAGCGGCUACCUGACAAAGCGAGGAGUGGCGCGACGGCUCAUCGGCGUCAGCGCUUGCGCCGACGCAGUCUGAGCAGCCGAGCGGAUUGCGCUCUCUGCGCAGCUUCCCUCCAGAUUGCGUAACCUUUGAACCGGCCGUUACAUUCACCGUUAUUUUUGUCAGGAACAGCCGUUAAGUUCCUGACGCGUAUUCGUUCAUGAACUGCGGAGCGCCAGACUGCCUUCCACAUCUUUGCUCACGCACUACCUACGUGCAAGAGAGAAGGCGCGUGAGGGUGAAGACACCGAUCAUGUACCCUCUACAGGUGCCGAAAGGGGCAGACGAAAACGCCGCCGCCCAAAGGGUCACCACGAAACUCCUGAACUCCAAGAACCCAGUAAGAAGACCUGCUGAAUUAAGGAGCUACAGCCCAGCAGCCUGUUCGAAACCAGGUUUAUCAAGGUCGAUACCUGUAAUGGACGUUACACGGAGGCACUCAUAUUUAAUGUUGAUUGCUAGCUUGUCUAGUCGUGUUUA